UGCCACAAACCCGUAGAUCCGAACUUGUGGUGUCUCUGUGCACAAGCUCGUGUCUAUAGGUAUGUGUCUG
rfam:Danio rerio chromosome 5, GRCz11 reference primary assembly.